CCACACCUAAAAACUUUCCACGUGAACUGUAGUUACCCGAUUAGCGCCGUGACGCGUGUCUGCGAUGCAUGUAUGUGUGUUGUGGGCGUGUGGGCUCGGCUGAUCGAAGGUUGUCGUGCCUGUUUGUGUUGCCUUGUGCGACGCGAGCGUGUGCGCGGCGGCUGACUUAUUCUUUCAAACCCCUUACUUUAAAACUGAUGUAUACUGUGAGGACGAAAGUCUUUGCUUUUAACUAGAUAACAACUUUCAGCAGUGGAUGUCUAGGCUCGCACAUCGAUGAAGAACGCUGCGAACUGCGAUACGUAAUGCGAAUUGCAGAAUUCAGUGAGUCAUCGAAAUUUUGAACGCAUAUUGCACUUUCGGGUUAUGCCUGGAAGUAUGUCUGUAUCAGUGUCCGUAACUCAACCUUGCCUCUCUUUGUCGGUGUAGUCCGGUGGGGAGACGUGCAGAUGUGAAGUGUCUCGCGCCGGGUUUCUAUUUUGAUAGGAUUUGGCGCGAGUCCUUUGAAAGCGACACGAUCUUUCUAUUUGCCUUUUGCGGAGCGCUUUGGAUUGAACGCGGCGGUCUUGGACUCGCUUGCAGUCGACGGCGACUUUGGCGGAGACAUUAUGGAGGGCACCUUACUUCGCGGUAUGUUAGGCUCUUUGGGCUGGACAAAUUAGCGUUUGUGAGUGUUGUUUUUCCGUCUUUUGCUUUGAGGUGUACCGUUCGGUUGUGGGCUUGAGACCUUGUGCUGUUUGUUUAGUAUUUCGGAGGCGUUGUUUGCGAUCGGAUUCUGCGCUGCUGUUUGUGUCCAUUUAUGGGCGUGGAUAGUAUGUGUGGGUAGAUGGAUUCCAUUUGGGAAAUACUGUACCUCGUGUGUGUGUUGGCAAUUUAUUGUUGGCAUGCGUGCGUGUGUAUCUCAAUUGGACC
rnacentral:rRNA from 1 species